rnacentral:rRNA from 1 species
UACGGGGGGGAGCAAGCGUUGUUCGGAUUUACUGGGCGUAAAGGGCGCGUAGGCGGCGUGACAAGUCACUUGUGAAAUCUCCGGGCUUAACCCGGAACGGUCAAGUGAUACUGUCGUGCUAGAGUACAGAAGGGGCAACUGGAAUUCCCGGUGUAGAGGUGAAAUUCGUAGAUAUCGGGAGGAACACCGGUGGCGAAGGCGGCGACCUGGGUCGAUACUGACGCUGAGGUGCGAAAGCGUGGGGAGCAAACAGG